AGGCCUUAAUCCAACUGCUGUCACAGCAACAGGGAGAAAAGACAGUUUAUCUUUGGUUAAUCCUGAAGCACAGCUUUUCAUCUGACAGACUUUUCCACUGAGAACGAAGAAGACGGGAAGAGUGGUUUUUUAGUGCUGGAAGGGUGUCAGAGACACUGCGUAGCUCCUGCUGUGGAGAAGUGCCCUACCCUACACCCAGGGUUCUGCUGUGUGCUGGUUUUGUGGUCUAGAGAUCUACCAGUCAGAGGGGGUACAUGCCUGCACUGAGGAUGCUGAGGGCCCCACCUCUGCAGGACUCCCAUGAGAGCACAAGAGGGGCUGGCCCUGCUCUCCUGAGCCCAUGGCAGAACUGAGGUCAGGCUGCUGGCUGUGCCUAUUGGAACACAAGCUCCCAGGCAUGCAGACAAGUGAAGAACGUCUUGCUUUUAGGAGUGCUGGUAACUGAUAGGAACUGGAUGUCUUUUGAGCAAGCGCUUCCCUGAAACAAGGAGAAAGAUGCAGGUGCUGGAGGCCAGGCGAUUCAGGGACAGGAGCAACAGCAUGCAGCGUGUUGGUGCAAACUCUGCACAGCAUGGAGAAGCACACUCAGCUGAGAGCCCACCACCCCAGCCCGCUGUGGAGCUGCAGCUAAUGAAUUUUGGAUCAGCUGGAGGUCCCUGCUGCCACUGAGAGGUCAUGGCCUUCACAGGGCCACCAGACUAGGCAUGGUGUGUGGUUGUUAAGGCAACCUGGAGUAUGGUGUCCUUAAUUGCAUGUGGUAGUUGGUGGGACUAGUUGCCUACUUUUUUUGCUUCCAGCAGGACCCAAAGUAUAGGGCAGUGUUUGUUCUAUGGUGCCUCCUAAGGGACCAGUCUGGAAGCACUCCCUGUAUUUACACUGGGUGGAUAGGAAAGUUAAUAGCAUGAGUAUCUUAAAAAUUUUUAGCGUUUUUUUGUAACAUCACUUGGAGAUUUUGAUCCAUUGUAUGGUCUCAGUGAAUGUUGCUGGUACCCUUCAUCAUUCUGCUACGUUCCCUUUACCGCUUUACUGUGUGUCCCUGGGGCCAGGAAACACAUUAACAGGUACUGGGAGAAGAGAAAGAAGAUAACAACAACCUUCUGAUUCACAGGAUGGCAAAGGCAUGUAUGUGUGAGAAUGAAAGGUGCAGGUGGAUCAGAAGAAGCUUCACUUUGGAUAGCUGGUGGAGUGGGAACAAGAAUGGGUGGCUGGCAGAGCACCUUCCCUGAGGGACCAGACACAGCGCCAGCAGCCUCCAAAUGUGGGCACAACUCGUGAGAAAUGUCAGAGGUUUUGUGAAAGGUUAUUGUAAGAUUUCUGCAUGUGCCCUCGUACCCAUGAGGAGAGAGAAGCAAUUGUGUAGUGGCAGGCAAUAGCUGUCAGUCAGUUUUGCUGUGAAACAUGUCUGGUGUUCAAGAGGUAUCUGGGGAUGUCAAAAUAGUAAAACUUCUCAAGAGAGCAAACUACAGCAUUCAAAACUGUGAACGUAAAAUCGCCAAUGGCUUUUACAAGUAGAACUGGAAAUAUGCUUAGGAAAAGUCUAUUGGCCUUGGAGGGUGCUGUGAGGCAUCUGAUGCUGGGAACGCUGGUGUUCCUGUAUUGAGGUUUGUUGCUCCUCUCCCCAGAGGCAGAGAAACCCUUCUCACUCCUUUGCAUUGGAUGGAAGAUGAAUUCUAAAAUUACUUCAAAGUCAUGUCCACUAACUUCCUGCAAGGAGGUCUGUUGUAGUCUUCAUUGCAGGUAACAGUCUCUCCCCUCACUAAGGCUCUCAGUACUGGAUAUUUCAAAGGUGAUGGUGGCAGAGGCAGGAAGCCCGAGACUGCCGAGCACCACAAACAGGAGGCAGCUUCACUUCUGUCCCCAUGGUAUGGUGAAAAAGGAUGGAGAAACAGUAACCUUCCAGGCAAAGCCUUUAUUCUGGAAGAGAGUGAAGAGCCCCUGAGACACAGAAAAUAACUAGCUCAAGAGCAGGAAAUCCAGGGGGUCUGGCCAGGAUGGGCUCCAAGCCCCCGCAGCAUGGCCAUGCUCAGGGCCACUGGAUAUGCUCUGCAGCCAAUGUCCACGUCACUGGCUGAGCCAGAGGGCACACAGCUGGCUGCAGUGCUGUGGGGGCACUGGCAGCUGACUCUAGCCACACUUGGUGUGGGAGUGAAGAACUUGGGUGCUGGUCUGCAUCUGAGUUGUUUGCAGCCCAGGUAAGUGGAGCAGGUGCAGAAGCACAGGAUCUCCUUUUGGAUUGUGUACAACAGUCAGCUGUACCGAGUCACAAGGCGUACAGCGCUGGUUUGCGACCUCCACGUGUGCUGGAGCUGUGGGUGACCCAGAUUCAGUGGCUGAAGUUGGGACUUACAAGAAUGACCUCCAGAAAAGCAAGGGGUGGGAAAGCACAACAGAGGAAGCGAGCAGAGCAACAUGAGAUGCUGGUGGGAGCAUUUGCUGUGGGAUAAGGACCUGUUCAUACUGGCUUUUCAGUGGAUGAAUUAAUCUUCCAUCUCCAAAGUGAAUUUAAGACCAUGCGGUGUGCUAGCAAUCUUUCUAGACGCCCUUGCAGGGGG